UUUUUGAGAAUGUAAUGUUCAGAUUUGAUUUGUGGUUGCCCUGUUUUUUAAGUAUGUUAACCACUUCGUAUAUCUACUUGCUUUAGCCUGAUAGUCAUAUAGGCUCAAACACAUCAUUAAAAUAAAAAGGAAUCUAUAUUUUCUUACUUUCCUUCACAACAUUGUAUAAUUUUGAUGGCUUUUUAUUUUUAACAUCUUCAGAUUUAGGUCUGUAUGCUGGCAUAUUUAAGUGUUUGCAUUCCAAUUGUGGUCUCCACCAUCCUAAUUCUUACUACUUUUUUUUUUUUUUAAUUUUGAGAAGCCUUUUAAGGAUUUAUUUUUCAAUGGGCUUAGUAUUGCUGUACUCUUAUUGCUCAAUGAAUUUAUUAAAUUUAUAGUUAUACAAUGAUCAUCACAAUCCAAUUAUAUAGGCUUUCCAUCCCACAACCCCAGCACAUCCCCCCACCCACCCAAACAGUCUCCUUUGGAAACCAUAUGUUUUUCAAAGCCCAUGAGUCAGUAUCUGUCCUGCAAAGAAGUUCAUUGUGUCCUUUCUUCAGACUCCAGAUGUCAGUGAUAACAUUUGAUGUUGGUGUCUCAUUGUCUGACUGACUUCACUUAGCAUGAUAAUUUCUAGGUCCAUCCAUGUUGCUAAAAAUGCCAGUAUUUCAUUCCUUGUAAUGGCUGAGUAAUAUUCCAUUGUGGAUAUGUACCACAUCUUCUGAUCCACUCCUCUUUCAAUGGGCAUUUAGGUUGUUUCCGUGUCUUGACUAUUGCAAAUAGUGCUGCAAUGAACAUUGGAGUACAGGUGUCUUUUCGAGUCCUGGUUUUCUCUAGAGAGAUGCCCAGGCAUGGGAUUGCUGGAUCAAAUGCUAGUUCUACAUUUAGUUUUCUGAGGAAUGUCCAUUCUGUUUUCUACAGUGGUUGCACCAAUUUACAAUCCCACAAACAGUGGGAUAGGGUUAACCAUUAACUAACUGCUAAGCCACAAUUGGAACUCCAUUUUCUAUCAUAUUUUUGUUUCACAAAAUAAACAAAUUUAUAUCUAUAUUCAACAUUUAAGUAGACAACUUAAAUAUAUGCAUUCAACUAAAUAGUCUCAUAAUUUGAACAGUUUGAAAUGUCUAAUAUGUUAGAAUUUAAUAAUGAUUUUAAAAUUUUUCCAAUAUUGGAGAUAAAAGUAUUUCUAAAUCUAUCACCAUACAUACAGAAAGUAAAGUAUAGGUAAGUAUAGGCCUAAAAUAACAUUUUCUGGGGAAUUAUUUUCAAUGAUUAUAACAUAUCAUGAAAACUAGAGUCAGAGUCUUUUCUCUCUAUAUUGAAUGAAUUACUACAUUAAUUAACAGAUAGGUCUCUUUUCAAAAGAAUACACACAAACGCACAUAUACAAUUAUUCAUUGACUGCCUAAAACAGGAUACUUAGUAAUUGCUUAGUGGUGUUAAUAAAGAUUUGAUAGCCUUUUAUAAUCACUUACACAAAUGUUGGCAGAUUUUUAAAAUAUUUGUCAUCCCUAUGUUCUUAAAUGUAGAUUGCAAAUUAGAAAAUAUUUUACUAGAAAAAUAUUACCAUACAUAUGUACCAAUAUUGAAGUAGUAAAUACCCUACUCUUAUAAAUCUGCCGUGCUGAAGGACAUUUCAGAAAAACAGUAAAUCGGUUGAGAAUAACAGUCAAUCAGUUGAGAGCAACCUGAUUGUUUCCCUCCCUUUUUCAAUUACCUCCUCCAUCUUUCUGCUGUUCUUGCUUUCAUACUAUUUCAAUUUAUUUUCAAGAAUAAAAGCUGCCACAAAUCCAGAUAGGGUAGGUGCUAAACAGAUUGUUGCAUGGUAACACUUAGGGUUAAUUGACAUGUGAACACUAUGGAAUUAUUGGCCCUAUGAGAUAUAUUAAUAAAGAAAUUGUGAACUCUGCACUAAUACAUUUGUCUCAUCACAGUCCUAUAAGGGUAGAUUUGACUUCAGAUAAAAUUACAAGGAACAUUUUGUAUGAUAUCUAUGUCAUCUUAAAGUCUUCUUAAGUUAAACUAAAAACAAAAUUGAGAGAGUAAGAGAGCAAGAAUAAUAUUGGAAUCCAAGGAUAAGGAAAAUAAAACGUCUGGGGCAAAGAUGAUGUUUGUAAUUAGUACGUACUAUGAAUUGUAUUUGGAUAAAAAAAUCAUUUUGUUAGUCAUUUCAGCACCCUCUAGUAGGAUGAUUAGGUUUUAAGCUAUUUACAGUGAAAUCAGCGUGUUGAGGAUCACGGUUGUACAACUAGAAAUAUUUAAAUUAUGUAGUCUCUUUAUAAGGUGCCUAAGUUCUUUAAUGGAUGUCUUAAAAUGACUUGUUUUUCAAUGGACUCAUACUUUAUCAUUGGCAUGUAUCAAAAUUUAACAGAUAUUUAUUUUCAUGGGUUUAUUAUUCAGUCAACAACACUAACUAAAUUAACGUUAAUUUCUAACUCUGAAAGUUUUAUUUCUCCAAACUUUCUGACAAGCACCCAGUGAUCUUUCAAAGAAAUAAUCUUAUUUCAGAGCUUUCCACAUAAAGGAAUCUUUUUGUAAACUAUUAAGUGAAUACUAACUUCCUAAAUGUAUCUUGCUAUUUUGGAAUUAAGUAUAUCAUACACUUCUUGGCAAGAUUGUGUACUUGUAAUUGAGCAUGGGAACUUAACGAAAAUUCUUCCUUAUGACUAGUUAAACAUUUCCUGAAAGAUAAAAGAGGCUUUAGUGUGAUAAAUACUAUUGGCAACUGUUAUAAAAUUAUAAAACCAUUUAUUGGAGUAUAUAAAAGCCAUCCCAGCAAUAUGAGUGUAUUCUUGAUACAAAUUUAAAUACUAAAAAGUAUGAUUAGCCAUAUAGUUUCUGAGCCUAAGCUAUGUAAGUUCAAUGUGCUCCCAUUAUUUAAACUAGUAAAAUGAAAUGUACUUUGGAGUUUGUACACUAUUAACUGUGUAUGGUGAUUUAAAACUUUAAAUAUUAAUAUUUGCUACUGAAAGUAUUUUAGAUUAUUGGAAGUCACCAAAAUAGAUGUGCAUUAAUUUACUCAUUCACUAAGAAUCUUUGUUAGUUUCUCUUGCUACUGUAACAAGUUUGUGAUGACAAACUUAUUGGUUCAAAACAACACAUAGUUGUUACUUUACAUAUUUAGAGGUCAAAAGUCAAAAAUUGGUCUGAUAUGCUAAAAUCAAGUUUUUGACAGAGCUGAAUUCUUCUUGAAGGCUCUAGGGAAAACUCUGUUCCCUUGGUUUUUUCCUAGCUUCUAGAGGCAUCUUCGUUCCUGCUCUCCCGACUCUUUCCUCCAUUUUCAAAGAACAUCAUUCAAACCUCUGCUUUGUGUCAUCACACCUCUUCUCUUCUGACCCUAAUGUCAUGUUAUUGAACACAUACUGCAUACCAGACCCUAUGCUGACUGCUGGGUUUUGAUGAAGAAUAGUUCAUGCCAGCUUAGCUUAGAUUUUGUUAGAGAGAAUAAAAAUGUAGGGCCAAACACAUUUAUCCACUGCAUGUGGAUGUUAUUGUCUAUGACUUAAUGUCCUCAUGAAUCCAUCCUCUUGAGCUGUAGUGAAGCUAUUUUAAACUGGCAAAUUUAUCUCUGAAAUUUUUGUUCAAAUGGGUUGAGUGUCUUAUCCUCAAAAGCAAACAGGCAUUAUUUACAAAUGUAUUCCUCUUUCUUCCUGAGAAGGUGACUGGGGUAGAGGAUGAGAAUUCUUGACCUCCAAGAACUCAAAGAGGGAGCCUUGGAUAAGCUGAUAUCCACUGCCUCAUCACUAGUCCUGCUGUGAUGAGAUGAUCUGCUCUAAUUCCUAGAUACAAUGAAUUUAUUUCUGGUAAGUGAGGCUGCUGAACUUAUCUUUGAUUCUCUGGGGGAAUUUCAAAGCUUGAUGGUUCUCUUUAGCUGAUACAAUUAACACAGUUUUGGCUCUUAAGAUGCUAUGUAUUCUGAAGUAUAAGUUGCUCCAGACACAUUUACCUCUUUUUCCCAUGUAGGUUAGAUGGAACCCUUUUGGCUUCUAAUAUUAUUGUAUCCACAAGGGCUGGCUCUUGAUAUGUUUCAAGAGUGAAACAAAUUAAAUCUUUUCCUUUGGCUACUUUAAUG
rnacentral:lncRNA from 1 species